GUGUGGAACUUGGGAUUCGAACGGCAGGCGGGAAGUGCUCUAGCAGGGGAGUCUGACCUUGUGAGGGAAUACCUGUGUCCCCCCUUUUUUCCCCUUUUUACCCAAUAAAACCCUGCCUUACUCACCCUUUAAAUCAUCUGCGAGCCUGAAUUUUCAUGGCCGUGGGACGGACAAGAACUUUAUCUUCAGCUGAACUAAGAAAAAGUCCUGCAACAUUUUUGGCGCGCAAUGUGGGGGCACCAGAAGCGAAAGAACACCCCCUCUUAAACAUGGAGAUCGUUAUAUAGAAUGUCCAAGGCAAAUUAAGGAAAAUAAUUAUUGUAGCUGAUGAAGCAGAAACCCUAUUAGAGCUAAAUGCUACUUCACAGUACUCAGUGGUGGAGGUUCUGAAGAAGUUUCUAGUGUAAAGGAAGCCCUAUGGAUGUUCUGUGAUCACCCACUCUCACAUCCAUAAUGGGUCAAGUGAGCCAAGAGAACUGACUCUGAGAAGGCGUUCCAAGCUCUUUGUGCAAUGGUGUUUAAAAUGCAAGAUUCCUGUCUGAGAGAGAAAUGACUUGAAGAGCGUUAAUGCAAACCCCCGUUCUGCUCUUCAAGCAGCUGUGUGCCUGGCAGACCCCAUAGGCAGAGAAGGGACUUGCAUGGGCCAUGAUGAUACAUAUUCAGCAGUGAAGAAGACUUGAUUCUGCACCUUGCCGGUUACAGCUGCCAGAUUGUGAGUGAUUGAUAGAGAACUUUGUUAAUGAUGUGGAAUUCACUUCUGGCAUGCUCUGCCCAAAUACGUAUGCAAUAUAUUAUUAGUGCCCUCAACAACAGGCCUGUCCAGAUGUGAUUUAAUUCAAAGCCUGAUUACCUUUUUCUCUUUUUACUCUUAUAAUUGGAAUGUUGUUGAUCAGAUUCUGCUUCUAAUAAAAAUGGCAAAGCACGCAG
ensembl:lncRNA MIR924HG MIR924 host gene